CACUCUUAAACGUCUCGUGAGUUUCUGAAUGUGCUUCUUCGCCAGGUCCAAUCACCUGAGUUAUAAGAAUAUC
rnacentral:sRNA from 1 species